UGCAGUCGAACGGUAACAUGAACUAGCUUGCUAGUUUGAUGACGAGUGGCGGACGGGUGAGUAAUGCUUGGGAAUUUGCCUUGAGGUGGGGGACAACAGUUGGAAACGACUGCUAAUACCGCAUAUUGUCUACGGACUAAAGGGGGCUUCGGCUCUCGCCUUUAGAGAAGCCCAAGUGGGAUUAGGUAGUUGGUGAGGUAAAGGCUCACCAAGCCGACGAUCCCUAGCUGGUCUGAGAGGAUGAUCAGCCACACUGGAACUGAGACACGGUCCAGACUCCUACGGGAGGCAGCAGUGGGGAAUAUUGCACAAUGGGCGCAAGCCUGAUGCAGCCAUGCCGCGUGUGUGAAGAAGGCCUUCGGGUUGUAAAGCACUUUCAGUCGUGAGGAAGGGUUAGUAGUUAAUACCUGCUAGCUUUGACGUUAGCGACAGAAGAAGCACCGGCUAACUCCGUGCCAGCAGCCGCGGUAAUACGGAGGGUGCGAGCGUUAAUCGGAAUUACUGGGCGUAAAGCGUACGCAGGCGGUUAGUUAAGUCAGAUGUGAAAGCCCCGGGCUCAACCUGGGAACUGCAUUUGAAACUGGCUAACUAGAGUGCGGGAGAGGGUGGUGGAAUUUCAGGUGUAGCGGUGAAAUGCGUAGAGAUCUGAAGGAAUACCGAUGGCGAAGGCAGCCACCUGGGCCGACACUGACGCUCAUGUACGAAAGCGUGGGUAGCAAACAGGAUUAAAUACCCUGGUAGUCCACGCCGUAAACGAUGUCUACUAGCAGCUCGCCUCGUUAGAGGGGUUUU
rnacentral:rRNA from 1 species